rnacentral:lncRNA from 1 species
AAGUGUCUAGUUUAAGCAUGUCAAUUUUCACAUUCAUUGGAUCAACCAUCAUUAUUUCACAAAGAAAAUGGUAAGCAAGGUACAAGAUAGCAUAUGCAUACACAAUCCUUAAGCCAAAACAAAAUUCAUGCGUGCACAAUUUCUGGAAAAAUAUUCAUAAAAAACUAGACACAACAUGGAACAUCAUGCAAAAAAUCACAGGCCAAUUGGAUCAAUAUUCAAUGAGUUAUGAUUUUUUGAAUGAAUGAAAAAAUUAAAAAAAAC